rnacentral:lncRNA from 1 species
AAUGCUGUAAACUCUCUCUGAGCGCUCGGGCAAGGCCAGUUAACCCUUUAGAAAGCCGGUUGUCUGGUUUGUUCCUGAGAAGCGAAGCCCGAAACGCCUGGUAUCGCUGAGGCUGAGCUCGACAUCUGAUGUCUUCAUUCGAAGGAAGUGCUCUCGGCUACGCACCAACUUAGGGCGAGCCUGGAGCUCCUGCCACCCAGGUGGCCACCGCAUUGAAUUACCCAUCUACUUUUUUUUUAAUCUACUUUUUACCCCAAUCCAGAUAGAUGGCUUCAAUUCAGGUAAUUUCUCGAAUGAUACUGUUGGUAGUGAUGCUUUUUCUCAUCUCACCAUGAAAGGGUGGGCUCAGCCGCUCACCUGGAGGUCUCUAGUGAGAUGUACUCCUCCACGAAGCACAGUCUAGCAAAUCCUCCAGAGGAACUCCGCGGUGUACAGAUGGUGAGGUGGGUGAUGGGUCCGCUAAGGACGGGUCUCCAGCAGCAAUGUGGUUGAUCUGUCUAGUUAAAUAAGGGGUAAAUACGCUCUGACCCAGCUCCUGGGGGAUGGAGAGGGAAGAAAGGCUGGUGGUGUGAUUCCCCCUUCCUGCGAAUUAGCCCACUUCUGCUGCCUUAGCAAUGGAUGGAAUCAGACCUUGAGCUCUAUUUUGUCCUCUGGACAAAAGUACCCCCCCCAACCCCCACCUCUGAGAAGGAAGAAUAGUUAGUUGUUAAUCCAGUCAGGAGAUUUUGUUCUCUAAUUAAUCAUCCCGGGGGGAAGGGUUUAAGUGGCCAGUUGGUAGGCAUUUAACUUAGCUGUAAUGAGAUAGGGCCCAGGAAGUUUAAUCAUUAGACCAUAGAGUAAGCUGCUUUUUGAGUUUAUCUCAUCGUUUCCACUGAGGGAGGCCGCAGCCUCAGGUCUUGGUGAUAUAUUAAUUAUUCACCUAAUCAGCACUUGCCCUGCUGCAACCUGGGGAGAUUUUUGCCUCCGUCCAAUGCUCAGGCUCCUUGGGGCUGUGGCUCAGCAGCCCUGAGCACUGAAUGCUCUUGUGAGGGUCCAAGAUUUUGAUGGAGGGUCUUCAGAAUUUUUUAUUUUUUUAUUUUUAUUUUAUUUUUUUUUUGUCCUUUUGUCGUUUCUAGGGCGGCACCCACAGCAUAUGGAGGUUCCCAGGCUAGGGGGUCUGUUGGAGCUGUAGCCGCCAGCCUACGCCAGAGCCACAGCAACUCGGGAUCCGAGCCAUGUCUGCAACCUACACCACAGCUCACGGCAACGCCGGAUCGUUAACCCGCUGAGCAAGGCCAGGGAUUGAACCUGCAACCUCAUCGUUCCUAGACGGAUUCGUUAACCACUGAGCCACGACGGGAACUCCAAAACUUAAUUUUUUAAAAAAGAUUCACAGGCAAAUGUCUGUCCCUCUGUGGAACUUUUGAUACCUCGGGCCAACAUUGCUUACAGUUUCUCAUCCAUACACAUUGCAGGCAAUGUUCGCUGCGGCCUCUGCUGGGAGACCAGCCUCUGACCUCACAGCAGUAGAGCCAUCACAGCUGCUUGGCAAUUCUGUCUGUCCCUGGCUGGUGUCCUCUCCUCCUAGAGGACAAGCGCCUUCAACACCCUUCUAACAUCCCUGUUCUCCUUACCUUUUCACUUUCAGUAGCAAACAACACUGCUGGAAAAAUCAGGUGUGUCGGGUUUUGUUUUUAUGUGUAUAUAUUCAAGGAUACGGUUGGUGGGGUUUAAUAACUCUUCUUCUGAGCACUCCAUCUAUGAAUUUAUCUGUCUCUAUUCCUACUCUUCUUAUACUUCUGCCCUGAAAAUUGUGCCCUCCUCUCACCUCCUGGGAGCAAUGCUGUCACAUGCAAACCUGCUGAUUUCCCCCAACUUAAGGGGGGAACCCCAAACACUUUAUUCUGCACAUCUACUCCUUUCCUCCCUUUGACUUCCUAGCCCAGGUUCUUGAGCGGACAGUCUGCACUCACUCGGUUUCUUCCUGGUUUCUCCUCCAUCUCCGUGUCAGAAGGCUUCCAUCUCCACCACUGGUCUCAGUAACGACGCUCAACCCUCAAACUGCCGCACGCAAUGGAUAUUCUAUUUGAACAUUUUUUGGCAUGGGUUUCGCAUGAUUCCACCUUCUUGAGACUUUUCCUUGGCUCCCAGGACACAAUUCCCUGGGACUAAAAAACUCUCCCACAGGACUGACACACCCCGCCUCGUCCCCUAUUCCAUUUCUCUUUCCAUCCCCUGAUCCCUUACACGUUAGUGCUCCCAAAGGGUCUGUCUCCAGCUUUUCCCUCUUCCCUCUACACAUUUUCUUUGUAUCUUUUUUGGGGGUUGGGGGGCUGCACUUGCAGUGACCUCAUCACUUAGUGUCUUUGUGGGGUUUUGGGUUUUUUUGGGGGGUUUUUUUUUUUGUAUUUUUAGUGAGCAUCUUUGAAGCCCCCACUUAAACAUGACUUCCUCUCCUCCCUUUUUUGCACCCCAACUCUGUCUACCAGCACCUUGUAAAACUAUUUAGCAUCCGUGACAUAAUCGUUUAACUAUUUGUUUAUGCCCUUAUCUUCCUUCUUUAGACAGUGAGACACGGACCAGUGCUGUGUAACAUUCCUUUGUGCAUAAGUGCUGUCUGAUGUGACGUGGGACACAUCUUAGGUGCUCAAUAAAUGCUUCUGGAAUCAAAGUAAAUAAAGUCUAGUCUCCCUGUUUUAAAAACUUUCUUAAAUCUGAAGACCUCUAAGUGUCCACGUUCACCUAACAAAUUGCCAAAGACAAAAUUAUAUUACCAGACUUGAGUUGAUAUUAGGAAUACUUCCAAAUUUCACCCAUGAACAAAUUCUUUCUCUGUUAGAUUUUAUACCAAUUCCUCUGACUUUUUAUUUAUUUAUUCUUUGUCUUUUUGCCUUUUCUAGGGCCGCACCCAUGGCAUAUGGAGGUUCCCAGGCUAAGGGUCUAACCAGAGCUGUAGCCGCCGGCCUACACCAGAGCCCCAGCAACAUGGGAUCCAAGCUGUGUCUGCAACCUACACCACAGCUCACAGCAACGUCAGAUCUUUAACCCACUGAGGGAGGCCAGGGAUCGAACCUGCAACCUCACGGUUCCUAGUCGGAUUCGUUAACCACUGAGCCACAAUGAGAACUCCCCUCUGACUUCUGAAGAUGUUACAAGUUUAGGAGGCAUGAAUCCAUUAGUGAAGCCCAUGGAUGCUUUACUACUGCCCACAGAGUCUCUCGUCCUCCACCUGUGCUUACCUGGCAUUAUCGGCCUCAGCAUAAGGCAGUCUGCACUGGAGAGUCCUAUAGCAUCUGAAUGGCAGAGGGGAUUGCAAACUUUUGGCUGUUCCAUCACCAAGAAUAUGUGACAGUUAUCUCCCUGAGGCAUAUUUUCAUUUUAGGAAAUUAAAAAACAAACAAACAAACCAAGAAGUGCUUUAAAGAUCACCUUUAAAGUCUAGAAUGACACCUGUAUGUCUCAUUUAAAAUCUUGCGUUGACAAAGAUACAACAAGGACCUCACAUUCUAGGCUUUGAUCGUUAGGUCUUAAAACCUGGCUUUUUACAUAACAUUGUUCUCAUGAAUAACAUGUGUUUGUUGUUUUGAAAAUUAGAUGGAAGUAUACUUUGAGAUUCAGAAUCCAUGUGGAAAAAUUCAAUGACCAGUAAACUUCAGGACAAAAAUCAGAACACUAUCUAGAUACUUUUAUGUCAAGUAGAAAUUUAUACCUUUUUUUUUUUUUUUUUUUUUUUUUUUUUUUUUUUUUUUGCCUUUUCUAGGGCCACUCCUGCGGCAUAUGGAGGUUCCCAGGCUAGGGGUUGAAUCGGAGCUGUAGCCCCAGCCUACUCCAGAGCCACAGCAACAUGGGAUCCGAGCCGCCUCUGCGACCUACACCACAGCUUGGCAAUGCCGGAUCCUUAACCCACUGAGCGAGGCCAGGGAUUGAACCCGCAACCUCAUGGUUCCUAGUCGGAUUUGUUAACUACUGCACCACGACAGGAACUCCAGAAAUUUAUACUUCUGUGUUAAGUGUCCUUGCCUCCCAGGGCCUCUUUGGGAGCAAGGACUGUAUUUUAAGGAAUUUGUAUUCCCAUAAGGUGGCAAUUUCUGGUGUAUUGUACAUACUCAGUAUCUACUUGUUGGAUAUGUAAAAUUGAAUAACCCUUAAUUAUAACCAUUAAGAGAGCACGUGUCAUUAAUAUCACCAGUAAUAUAAAAUGGAAACCAUCAGGGCCUGAGUCAGGUAUUUUCAGCCUGGGACCUUACAAAAGAAACUGCUGCUUGGGCUGAUAUUAACAUUCCUUUAUCUGGUAAUAGCACCUAGGUUUGAGGUGAAUAGUUCUUUCACAUGUUCAGCAUACAUCAUUGGAUAGGGCGCAUCCUUUCAUGGGCUCCAGACUAAUCCUUGCAUUUCCAUCUCCUCCUUCUCAGUAAUUGGUUCAAGGAUGGGCAUGCAACUCAAAUUUUCCAUUUAGGGUGACUUUUGAGAUUUUUGUGGGAAUUACUGAGAUUUUCAUGGGACAAAAGAAAACCUCUCCCCCCAGACAUGAAGUUAUAUGGAUGUCAGCUUGGAACUGGUAGAGGCUCUUUUGAGACAGGACAAACAUGGAGGAAAGCAGAACUAAGGGAAGCAAUAGGGCAGAUACCUAAGGACCACCUGGGAGUAUCUUGAUCCAGCUACGCCUGAAGCCAGAAGUUAUUACCUUGGCCAAUCAAUUUUUCUGGAUAUGUAGUUUAAGAGAGUUAUAAACCUUUGUUGUUUUUAGCCUGAGAUCUGGGAGAUUUUUAUCUUUUUAACUGCAAUAAAUUCUAGUUGAUUCUGACUGGUUCAGGCAGCUCUUUAUCAAUAGUCUUAAAAAUAGUCAUCUGUCAUCUCUGGGACAACAUUAAACACACCAACAUUUGCAUCAUAGGGGUCCCAAAAGGAGGAGAGAGCGAGAAAGGGCCAGAGAAAAUAUUUGAAAAGAUUAUAGUUGAAAACUUUCCUAAUAUGGAAAACACUAGAGUUGAGGAAGUGCAGGGUUCCAUACAGGAUAUAUCCAAACGGGACCAUGCCAAGACACAUAUUAACCAAACUGACAAAAAUUAGAUACAAAGAAAAAAUAUUAAAAGAAACAAGGGAAAAGCAACAAAUAACAUAUAAAGGAAUCCCCUUAAAGUUAUCAGCUGAUUUUUCAGCAGAAACUCUACAGGCCAGAAGGGAAUGGCAAGAUAUAUUUAAAGUGAUGAAAGGGAAAAAUCUUUAACCAAGAAUAUUCUACCCAGUGAGGCUCUCAUUCAGAUUUGAUGGAGACAUCAAAAGGUUUACAGACAAGCAAAAGCUAAAAAAAUUCACCACCACCAAACAAGCUUUACAAUAAAGGCCAAAGGAACUUCACUAGGUUGAAACAUGAAAGUAGGAAAUUAUCCACAUCUGGAACCUACCCCAUAGCUCAAGGCAAUGCCAGAUCCUUACCCCACUGAGCAAGGCCAGGGAUCGAACCUGCAUCCUCAUGGAUACUAGUCAGUUUUGUAAUCCACUGAGUCACAAUGGGAAUUCCAAAACCAGCAAUCUUAAGAAGAGAGCAUGAAUGCAGAAAAAUGAAAAUGCAUUUGAAAUUAAGAGACCACUAGCAACUUAAAACAAUUUUGUAUAUAUGUAGAAUGCUACAUCAAAAAAAAAAAAAAACUCAUAGGAACAAAAAACCCCAAAAAACUACAAUAGACAUACUCAUAAAAAGAGAAACAGCAACUUGAACACAGCUCUAAAGAUAGUCUUCAUAUCACAAGAAAAGAGAAGAAAGAAGAAGGAAGGAAAAAGCCCAACUAAAAAAAAAAAAA